CAAGGAACUUGUGGUGGACAUGCGCCCUCUCUAAAUCUAUUACUCCAAAGUCCCUACUCAAGCUAAUCCACUGCUUCUUCCUCGCUCCUCUCCCUUGUAGAGCAAUCUGAUGCAGUUAGUGUGCAGUGUUCGGUACGUGAAGUACGUCGACCUGGCUAACUAGCAGCUUUGGUAGAGACAAUCGAGUUCCGUGCACAUAGAUUCCGGAGCUUGGAUAUGCUUGCAGUCGAGUCUUUAAGAAGUUCCAAUGGAGACGAUCGGGAUGGGACGUUGGGAAACUUCCCCAUCUCCGAUGACUUCGGCGACGAGGCCUUGCUCGAGGACAUCGACUUCGGUGACCUCUUCAUGGGAAUCGAUGACGGAGACGUGCUGCCGGACCUUGAGCUGGAUCCAGCAGAGAUUUUCGCGGCGUUCUCGGUCGGAGAGGAGGGCUCGGGCAAGGCGACGGCCGUGGAGGAGCCCGAAGGGGCGUUUGGUGGAGAUGGCUCGACGCAAGAUGUGGUGGUCUUGGAGGCGGAGAUCGGGGAGGAGGAGAAGGAUGUGAAGAGACAGCGGGAGGAAGUCGUGGGUGCGACGACGACGGAGGACUCAAUGGUCAUGCCAUCUGGGUUGAGAUCUGAGUCGCCUGACGGCAAUAAAGGUCGUAAGCCGUCGUCUCCGUCGGCUACGAGGGGUUCACAGGGGAAGCGCAAAUCAAAAGUGGACUGGACGCCGGAGCUGCACCGGAGAUUCGUGCAGGCGGUGGAGCAGCUGGGGAUCGACAAAGCGGUGCCCUCCAGGAUUUUAGAGCUCAUGGGGAUCGAUUGCCUCACCCGACACAAUAUUGCUAGCCAUCUACAAAAGUAUCGAUCGCACCGGAAGCAUUUGCUCGCGAGGGAGGCGGAGGCGGCGAGCUGGACGAGGCGACGGCAGAUGUACCCAAAGAAGGACGUCAACCCAUGGCUCGCCCCUACUAUCGGCUUCCCACCUCCUCCUCCUCCGCCUGCGGUCCGGCCUUUUCGGCCACUGCACGUCUGGGGGCACCCCACCGCAGAAGCGCCACUGGUCCACAUGUGGCUACGGCGUCCGGUGCCGCAGCCUCCCUCGCUGCCGUGGGCUCCUCAGCCACCACUUCCGCCACCACCGGAUCCCUCCUAUUGGCACCACCUCUAUCAAAGGGGAGGAAGAGAAGGAUGGGUUCCACAUGCCAUGACCCAGGGAACUCCUUGCUUCCCUCAGCCACUGCCGGCGGCGAGGUUUCCGGCUCCACCACCUGUUCCGGGCAUCGUCCCCCAACCCAUGUACAGACCGAUUCCUCCUCCCGUGACCGACCACUCCAGCUCGCAGCUUCAACUUGAUGCUCAUCCUUCAACUGAAAGCAUAGAUGCAGCUAUAGGAGAUGUGUUAGCCAAGCCAUGGUUGCCAUUGCCUCUCGGAUUGAAGUCCCCAUCAGUAGAUGGUGUGUUGGUGGAACUACAAAAGCAAGGGGUACCAAAAGUGCCACCAGCUUGCGGAUGAUGCUGCUACAUCAAUCCACCUGAAAGAACAAAUUUGCCGACAAGUCAUAUUCCAGUUUAUAGUUUCAAUCUGGCAUCUUGUUAAGGAAAAUGGAGGCAACUGAUCUAUGUGUAUAUACUUGAUUCAUUCUUUCUGAGGGCUUCUCAAAGUCUGCCACAGAUCAAACAUUGAUGUCACUUCCCAAGAAUGUCAGUCACUAUGAGGUGCUAUUGUUUCUGGAUUUCUUUUAUUGCAACUUCUCUCUGCAUAUUUCUGAAUUGGUAGUAAAAGUAACAAAUGGUGGCAUAAUAGCAUAAGGAUUUGUGAUGAAAAUGCUGAACUUUUUCGAAAUGUCUUCUUCUAAAUUCUUCUUCUUCGAAACAAUAGUUUUGUUUUUUUGUAAAUGUAUUCAGCUUCUUUGGUAUGAUAGUGCUCAAGUUUCCCUUUUUUUUUUUUUCUAUAACAAGAUUAGCUAUAAAUGCCAGGAAACUUGAGGUUAUGAGCUAUAUGGAUUUCCAACUGCAGAAAGUAUUUUGGUUCCAAUCUGAUGUAUUUAAUGCAAAGAAGUUGUUAGCUAUUUUCUGCCUUGAUAAUGGAGCAGCUUAUAUUUUCAGACAAUUACAAGGACAGAUUUGUAAUUACAUAUUGUUUGAUUUCUAAAAUCUUGGUUCUAUA